UCAAAGCACGGUGGAAAACCACGCCAGCUUGAAUCCCUGAUAUACUGGCAGGAACAGGAGGUUUGGUGAUCCUCUAGCAUGGACUGAGAUCUGCAGUGGCUGCAUCCCCGCUUGUGUGCCUUUGUCUGGGUGCUGCUUUGGGGUCCCCCGGUUGGCCAGCUAGAUUAAGGGUCAGAUGUGUGAAAGCUGUGGAUUAAAUUUGGACAGCUGCAGAUGCUAUCCUUGCUAAUGACUCUGCAAGCCAGACUCCCUCCCCUCUCCAAAGCCAGAUCCGUGAACCUGCCUCUGGAUUGCUGCUGCUUUGUGCUUAGUGAUUUAAGAGAUCUUGCGCUGUAACAGCCUGAGACCACUCGGCCUGUCCUUCUUGUGGCAGUGGCAGGAUCAGGGCUGCUGAAGGGGAGCACAGAAGCAAGGGAGAUGUGCAGGACCUCAUGGUGGAGCAUGGCACCACUGCUUAGGCCUGCUGAUGUCAGUGUCUAA